CUCUGGAAAAAAUACAAGAGAAGCUUUGAACUAAUUCAUUAAGCACUUAUUGAACUGUUCUGCUGCAGGACUGGAAGCUCCUUGGACCAAAGUUAAUUAUUUCUUUACAUAUUCAAUGGGAUCCUGAUACAGGAGAAAAAACAAGCUACUUUCACCAUGCAAGAGUGAUGACAUAAAUUGUAAUGUGCCAGCUACAGGCAGGGCCAGAUUAAGGCAUAGGCACUGUAGACCAGUGCCCAGUGGUGCCUAGCAAGUACCUAUGGAAGAAGAAGACGACAAAGAAAACCAAUGAGCAGUGACAGCCAUGUCUGACUGCUUGUCUGUAGUGAGCACCCAGUGAGUAACAAAUGGAUUAUUAUGUUAAACAUGAGUCUAACUCUAAUAGUGCACAUACAUUUUAACUUCAGUGAAAAGCUCUUGGCAUGCCAGGGAAUAAAACAUCUUAUCUCCACCCACCAAGCCCUGACGACACCAUUCUUUCUGUUUGCAUAGUGACAUCACAUUCCAGUGCUCCUCACGUCCCAGAAAUAACUGAAACCAUAAAGCAAACAGGAAAAAGACCCUGAUGCAUGCCCUGCUGUUGCCUUCUGAUGAGUUGCAGCCAUAUAUUUCUGAUGCAAGAGGCACAUCUAAAUAUAUAACACACUACUAAUAACGUUCUGACCUGCUAUAGCGCUUUCCAUCCGAGGCUCACAAAGUGCUAUACAAACAUUAACAGCUUGAGCCUUCUGUGGCUCCAUAUUAAUACUCUCCAUUUUACAAAUGGAUGAAAGUGAAAUACAGUGAGUUAAUGAAGGGCACAGAAUGGGAUAGUGGCUCUAACCACUAAACUACACCCCCUCCUUAUACAAGUUUCAUCAUCUUGAGGCAUGAAGCUAGAUUAAUAACAAGGAAUAAUGGGCAGAGAAUAAUGGGAAAAAUCUAUAUAAGGCCACCAUUUGUCACACAGAAUAGUGCCUUGUAACACACACAGUCAGUAGCACUAAUUGUGAAGUAAGGUACUAUUCACCACCGUGGCAGUACUGAACCCACAGAGAUUUCAUUAUUAUUAUUAUUUUUAUUCAUUGUAAGGUCCAUGGCUAAAAGGCUUAAGGGAUGGAGGUCUGCUCAGGGAGUGGACUCUGGUUUGGGAAUGGGAUUUAAGAUUAAAAAAAAGAGAGGGCUGAAGGAUCUGCUCUAGUGACCAGGAGCUCUAGCCCAGGGAGCAGGCAGGCAGUCUGCCCAAAGGUUCUGUGGUGCUCUGGGAUCUUCAUCUGCAGAUUCUGAACCAUCUGUGGAGGGAUUCCCUGGGACCCAACCACCCUGACCCAGUGGUGGUAGCACACAUCUGACUUCACAGUGUGGCCUGAGGGACCAGCUGCAGUGGAGCUGAUAUCAGGAAAAGGAACCAGGUAGCUGCAAAUUGGAGUAGAACUGGCUGGUGAAGACUUCAUUGAACUGGAGCAGAUCGGCAGAGGACAGCCAUCCUCUGACAUCCCGGCUAUCAGAGAGUCUAAUUGGAUCCAUGAGUGGGGUCUUAGAUGGCUGGGGUUUCUUGUAUGACUAAGUUCUGAACCUCAACAAGCUGAACAAUUAAUCCAUUGGAAGUGGGGUGUUGGCCACACUCCUGAUACACUGAUUGAGUUUUGCUCCUUUGAGUGUAUGUAAAUAUAUACAUUUGGUUAUUGUGUUGCUUUUGUUUAGU